UACGUAGGGGGCGAGCGUUAUCCGGAAUUACUGGGUGUAAAGGGAGCGUAGACGGCGAGGUAAGCCUGAAGUGGAAGCCCGCGGCCCAACCGCGGAACUGCUUUGGGAACUGAUUUGCUGGAGUAUGGGAGGGGUAAGCGGAAUUCCUGGUGUAGCGGUGAAAUGCGUAGAUAUCAGGAGGAACACCGGUGGCGAAGGCGGCUUACUGGACCAUAACUGACGUUGAGGCUCGAAAGCGUGGGGAGCGAACAGG
rnacentral:rRNA from 1 species